rnacentral:lncRNA from 1 species
UCCAGUCAUCCGAGAUAAACAUUUUCCUUAACUGCACUCUCCUCGAAUGUAUGUUAUCUAGGCAUAAGUACCAGGUCGCAAAUCUUGUGACCCCAGGCUUCACAAUCUCUUUCUUCCUUGUAAAUCUACGCAUCAUGCUGAGGGUGGGAUGGUGGCCAUAAAUGAAAUUUGUAAUUGACUUUGCCUUCUUCACUGCACCUGAUAUCUCGGUUAAACCGCCAAGAGCCUCAAGCAUGAGGUUUAUAUAAUGUGCUGCACAUAUUGUCUAAAAGAUUUUAGGAUAAGCUAUGCGCAACAAAUUAGCUGCAACAACAUUAGGAGCAACAUUGUCUUGACAACCUGUACAACAUGAUGCUCCCCAACCUCCAUUCCCUUCUCUAAAACUUGGAAUAUGUAAUGAGCAUCAUGGAUAUGAUCAGAGGCAUCAAUAGACCUCAAAAAAACAGUCCCUAAAGGACAAUUGAUAAGCAAAUUCAUCUGACUUCUUCUCUUCUUAUCACUCCAAGCAUCAGUCAUAAUAGAUACCCCAUAUUGAGCCCAUGCUUCUUUCUUAACUUCUACAGCUUCCUUCGUGACACUCACCGCCUUUUUCAAAAGAGGCUCUGAAAGCU